GAUGAACGCUGGCGGCGUGCCUAACACAUGCAAGUCGAACGGAAAGGCCAGUGCUUGCACUGGUACUCGAGUGGCGAACGGGUGAGUAACACGUGGGUGAUCUGCCCUGCACUUCGGGAUAAGCCUGGGAAACUGGGUCUAAUACCGGAUGGGACAAUGGUUUGGAUGCCGUUGUGGAAAGUUUUUUCGGUGUGGGAUGAGCUCGCGGCCUAUCAGCUUGUUGGUGGGGUAAUGGCCUACCAAGGCGUCGACGGGUAGCCGGCCUGAGAGGGGGUACGGCCACAUUGGGACUGAGAUACGGCCCAGACUCCUACGGGAGGCAGCAGUGGGGAAUAUUGCACAAUGGGCGCAAGCCUGAUGCAGCGACGCCGCGUGGGGGAUGACGGCCUUCGGGUUGUAAACUCCUUUCGCUAGGGACGAAGCGUAUUUGUGACGGUACCUGGAGAAGAAGCACCGGCUAACUACGUG
rnacentral:rRNA from 1 species